AGUCCCCCGCCCCCUUUUCUGCGCCUGCGCAAUCCCGCCUCUGCCUUGACGUCAGGGCCCGCCCGGCCACGUGAUGUCAACACAACAAGCGAGGGGGUGGGGCGGGGGCGUUCCUAGGCGGGCCCGGGACUGGGAGACGCGGGAGUCACGCUGACGCGCGCCCCAGCAAGUAGAGGGGCGGCUGGCAGCAUUAUCAGGCACGAGGACCCUGGUUCCAGCUCCUGACUUUUCACCUGCAACAGGGAAGUUUCAUGAGCAGUGAAGCAGAUCUACAGCAAUGAGCAUGCUGAGAUUUUAAUGAAGAAAGAGGCUGGGAGGUAGCACAUUGGGAUGAACCACCUUAAGGAUCAAGCCCUGCGUCAGAUCAACAUGCUAAAUAGCUACUUGUAUUUAUAUAUUUUCUUCACAUUUGGGAGCUACU